CCCAAACCUCUCUCGCACGCGGGGACUGAGCACGGCCCGAAAAGCCGAGGACAGCCGGACUCACCCUGUAGUUAUAGUAGUGCGUCUGCACAAGAUGCCGGUGGCGCGACUUGUGGUUGCCGAAGUUGGAUUUCUCGCAAACCAAGAUGGGGUCUUGCUGUGUUGCCCAGACUGGUCUCAAACUCCUGAGCUCAAGUGAUCCACCCACCGUGGCCUCCCAAAGUGCUGAGAUUAAAGGCUACCCAUGGGGACCUCAACAGCUUUGCCAUUGCACACUAUCUUUGCAGACAAGAUCUUAAUCACAUCCAACUUUCUGCAGUUGCACAGGGUACCUCAGACCCACAUCCCAGAUGACAUUCCUCAGAAGCUCGCAGCUGGAGAUGACAUCACCUUAGACAACAUCACCCUAGCCCAAGACAUCGCUAUUAGAGAUACAUCACCUGGACACUAAAGCCUCCAACCCAGUGACACUCUCAAGGUGCUGACAAAAUGGACAUGGACAUUUGUUGCUUUUCUUCUUUUGAAUUAGGAACUCUAUUGUGUUUCCUGAAUUUACUGUCUGCUUGGCCCAUGAUCCUGGUAUGUUCCUUGCUCUCUGCCAAAACAUGCACCGUCCCCUCCACACCUAAAGGAAAACCUGGUAGAAGCUACUACUCUCAAUGCCAUUCUAAAAUUGACGAAGAGUAUUAUUUUCCCCAAGAGGCAGCUGCUGCAGGCCAGUGAAUCCUCUGGACCCUGGGGAGAGGGUCAUACACUCCCUAGUGACUUCUACUGUAUGCUCCAGCUUUCCACCAGGACCUCCUGCCCUGUCCCCAACUGUAACGACCACAACCACCCCAUCCCCUUGGUUACACACAAAUAUCACCAGUCUUUACAUGUACUUUACUGACUUCUCAGAUAAUACCCUCCAACAAGAUAACUGCAGGACUUGCCACCAUGACCUGAGAAAUACACCAAGAUAUUAUUGUCCAAUUUUUUUGAGAUAUAUAUAUAUUUCUCAUACUUUUAACAUACUCUGCAAUCCACCAAGAUAUUGGUAGAGACCCUGGAAAUUUCAAAUCUAUUUCGUCUGCUAAUGCCAUGUGAAUGGGAAACUUAGAUACAGGCUGGCCUACAAGGACUCCUUAUACUUCAAUUUUUGUUCCUCCUUUCAACUCUCAUAAAAAAUAUUUUCUGUACUAUUUAGGGCAAAUGAUGGCCUUCUUUCUAAGUCUCAUCCAUCAUUGCUGCAAAGGUGCCUUAGUUUGAUGUUAAAGUGUCACAGGGCCAAUGUAUUGACCAUGUUUCUGGCGUCUAUAAAGUCGAUGUUUUAAUAUCUGUC
rnacentral:lncRNA from 1 species